GGAAUUCAGAUAGGUGAUAUUGAAAGUAUACCCUGGUUUAAGUGGAUAUAUAUUAACUUUGUGGAUUCGAAAAUUAUUUUUUGAUCGAUUCAGUAUAAUAGAUAUGGAAAUAGUAAACAUGAUAAAAAAAAACAGGAAACCGAGAGUAAAGGUUGUUGUGGUUUACCAGUAUUAAACUUUCCUUGAAGUAAUCAGAAAGCGGGGAGAAUGCGCUAGAAUCGUGAUUGUAUAUACCGGUGAAUUGUCGAUCUCAAAUAACGAAGUGGUAUUGUAUUCAUAAGUUGAUAACUGGGGUUUAAGAAAACAUUUUUCUUGCCUCUGUGUGGAUAUUAUUAACGGAACUUUGUCGGUAAAUUGUGUUUUUCUGUAUAUCAACAGCUAACCUAAACAACGAACAACUAAAAAUAGGAAAUCCGAAACCAAAAAAAGAAAAAAAACGGUUUUAUUCUGGUGCAGUAAAAUCUAGAAUUGAGUUAGCUGCAGUGACUCGGAUAUAUAAAACCGCCAUUUCCCUUUCUUUUUAUUUAUGUGAAAAUUAUUUUGGCUUAAAUGAGAUGCAUGAUUGCGCAACGUUCGCACUUAUUUAAUGUAUUUAUUUCGUUUAUCAAAUUUUUCGUUUCGUUUAAAACAUAUAACAUGUUACAGUGAAUGUAAAGUAGCAGUAGGCCCACCUGUAAUCUGCCAUUAUGAUGUGUGAGUACACAAAGGAAGUUACCAGACUAUUGUUGGCUUUUGUAUUUCUACAUUGUGUUUCCAUUACAGAUGGAACUAACUGUGAUAAUUCAAUUGCUUCAAUUUCGGUCUGCAAAUCUUCGUCACAACAAGGACGAAGUGUUCAUCUGACAGGUGUUCUGGAUAACGACGAUGGAAUUGGAUGUGGAUGUGCUCUACAAUUAAUCAACGAUGGUUUUGGACAAGGAACCAUAUCAAUAGCCAAUAUCACAUCGGCGCCUAGUAAUUGUGACUUCAAUAUAGAUUCGACUUAUAAAACUAACGUGAAACGAAUUUUCUCGUGUGGUAAUUAUGAACAAAAUGUACAAUAUGAAUUAAUAGAAGGAGAAGAGGUGCUGUUAAAACUUCAAAAAGGGACUAGUAAUAUUGGUGCCAUAUUCUGUCUAGAGAUAACCAGUACACUGGGAUCACAAGUGAAUAUUGAAUGUAGCAAAACUCCAACAGCUACAGUACCGACAACUAGGACGAUCACCGACAAUACUGGUAAAUCAAACAUUAAGAGUUCGACACCCAAUAAUAAUUUUAGCCAAACUCCAACAGCUACAGUACCGACAACUGGUACGAACACCGACAAUACUGGUAAAUCAAACAUUAAGAGUUCGACACCCAAUAAUAAUUUUAGCCAAACUUCACCUUCAUCCGAAGAUGAAACUGGUUUUAUCGUGGGUAUCAUAUUAGCAGUAAUAAUUUUGAUAACUUUGAUGUCGCUGGUUGUUUGUGUUUUAUACAGAAAGAAGAAGAGGGUCAAGAAUGUGGUAGUACCGGGUGACGUCAAACAAAUAAAACAUUAAUAAUUAUCAUGUUUGAUAGUAAAUAUUAUAUGAUUUAGCAACAAAUAGGAAGAAAAGUAAAGAAGAUUAAAAAAAUUUAAAAAAUAUGAAGAAAAAAAACGAUGUAAAAAUA